rnacentral:rRNA from 1 species
CCGGUGGCGAAGGCGCCCCCUUGGAACGAAGACUGACGUUCAGGUGCGAAAGCGUGGGGGAGCACACAGGGAUUUAGAUACCCUGGUAGUCCACGCCGUAAACGAUGUCGACUUGGAGGUUGUGCCCUUGAGGCGUGGCUUCCGGAGCUAACGCGUUAAGUCGACCGCCGGGGGAGUACGGCCGCAAGGUUAAAACUCAAAUGAAUUGACGGGGGCCCGCACAAGCGGUGGAGCAUGUGGUUUAAUUCGAUGCAACGCGAAGAACCUUACCUGGUCUUGACAUCCACGGAAGUUUUCAGAGAUGAGAAUGUGCCUUCGGGAACCGUGAGACAGGUGCUGCAUGGCUGUCGUCAGCUCGUGUUGUGAAAUGUUGGGUUAAGUCCCGCAACGAGCGCAACCCUUAUCCUUUGUUGCCAGCGGUCCGGCCGGGAACUCAAAGGAGACUGCCAGUGAUAAACUGGAGGAAGGUGGGGAUGACGUCAAGUCAUCAUGGCCCUUACGACCAGGGCUACACACGUGCUACAAUGGCGCAUACAAAGAGAAGCGACCUCGCGAGAGCAAGCGGACCUCAUAAAGUGCGUCGUAGUCCGGAUUGGAGUCUGCAACUCGACUCCAUGAAGUCGGAAUCGCUAGUAAUCGUGGAUCAGAAUGCCACGGUGAAUACGUUCCCGGGCCUUGUACACACCGCCCGUCACACCAUGGGAGUGGGUUGCAAAAGAAGUAGGUAGCUAACCUCGGAGGGCGCAUAC